rnacentral:rRNA from 1 species
AUUGAACGCUGGCGGCAGGCCUAACACAUGCAAGUCGAUCGGAUGACGGGAGCUUGCUCCUUGAUUCAGCGGCGGACGGGUGAGUAAUGCCUAGGAAUCUGCCUGGUAGUGGGGGACAACGUUUCGAAAGGAACGCUAAUACCGCAUACGUCCUACGGGAGAAAGCAGGGGACCUUCGGGCCUUGCGCUAUCAGAUGAGCCUAGGUCGGAUUAGCUAGUUGGUGGGGUAAUGGCUCACCAAGGCGACGAUCCGUAACUGGUCUGAGAGGAUGACCGGCCACACUGGAACUGAGACACGGUCCAGACUCCUACGGGAGGCAGCAGUGGGGAAUAUUGGACAAUGGGCGAAAGCCUGAUCCAGCCAUGCCGCGUGUGUGAAGAAGGUCUUCGGAUUGUAAAGCACUUUAAGUUGGGAGGAAGGGCAGUAAGUUAAUACCUUGCUGUUUUGACGUUACCGACAGAAUAAGCACCGGCUAACUCUGUGCCAGCCGCCGCGGUAACAC